rnacentral:rRNA from 1 species
GACAGCAGUCGCCACGGGAAUACGGAGGGUGCAAGCGUUAAUCGGAAUUACUGGGCGUAAAGCGCACGCAGGCGGUUUGUUAAGUCAGAUGUGAAAUCCCCGAGCUUAACUUGAGAACUGCAUUUGAAACUGGCAAGCUAGAGUCUUGUAGAGGGGGGUAGAAUUCCAGGUGUAGCGGUGAAAUGCGCAGAGAUCUGGAGGAAUACCGGUGGCGAAGGCGGCCCCCUGGACAAAGACUGACGCUCAGGUGCGAAAGCGUGGGGAGCAAACAGGAUUAGAUACCCCUGUAGUCCCUGUCUCUUAUAC